rnacentral:rRNA from 1 species
AGUCAGAGCCCGUUAAUGGGUGAUGGCGUGCCUUUUGUAGAAUGAACCGGCGAGUUACGAUUUGAUGCAAGGUUAAGCAGUAAAUGUGGAGCCGUAGCGAAAGCGAGUCUGAAUAGGGCGUUUAGUAUUUGGUCGUAGACCCGAAACCAGGUGAUCUACCCUUGGUCAGGUUGAAGUUCAGGUAACACUGAAUGGAGGACCGAACCGACUUACGUUGAAAAGUGAGCGGAUGAACUGAGGGUAGCGGAGAAAUUCCAAUCGAACCUGGAGAUAGCUGGUUCUCUCCGAAAUAGCUUUAGGGCUAGCCUCAAGUGAUGAUUAUUGGAGGUAGAGCACUGUUUGGACGAGGGGCCCCUCUCGGGUUACCGAAUUCAGACAAACUCCGAAUGCCAAUUAAUUUAACUUGGGAGUCAGAACAUGGGUGAUAAGGUCCGUGUUCGAAAGGGAAACAGCCCAGACCACCAGCUAAGGUCCCAAAAUAUAUGUUAAGUGGAAAAGGAUGUGGCGUUGCCCAGACAACUAGGAUGUUGGCUUAGAAGCAGCCAUCAUUUAAAGAGUGCGUAAUAGCUCACUAGUCGAGUGACACUGCGCCGAAAAUGUACCGGGGCUAAACAUAUUACCGAAGCUGUGGAUUGUCCUUUGGACAAUGGUAGGAGAGCGUUCUAAGGGCGUUGAAGCAUGAUCGUAAGGACAUGUGGAGCGCUUAGAAG